UAAAAAUAUUUGUUGUUCAUCUGAUAUUAAAAUUUAAGUGGUGUCUUUUAAAAAAAUCUGUCAAUGGUAUUUGUAGCAGAGAUUGAUUAAUGAUAAAUUAAUGAUCAGAAACUUUAUGGUUUGAAGAAUUUAGGUUUUUCUUUUUUUAAAAUUAGGUUUAUUUUUUCUGGGGUUCCUAAUUUCCUUAAGACUUUCUGUUACCUUUUUAGAGUAAUGGGAUGAAUGAUAAUAGCUACUUUGAUUGGGCACCUGCCCAAAUACAACCAGGUGCCUUCCAUUUAUUGUCUUAUUUAAUCUUCACAGCAAUCUGAGGAGGCAGAUGGUGUUGUGCCCAUUUUACAGAUUAGAAAACCAAGGCCCAGAGACAAUUUUUCUUGAGCUAGACAGCUAAUAAGUGGGAGAACUAGGAUUGAAAACCAGGUUUGUCAGAGUCCAUAGUUGAUACUUCUCCUCUUAGCUGCAAUAGCUUAUUAAAUGUGAACGUUCACUAAAGUUACAAAUGAUGGAAUCAGCUAAUUAGAACUCAUUAAACAACAUCACAGGUUUCCCUGGUGGCUCAGUGGUAAAUUCACCUGCAAUUUAGGAGUCAUGGGUUCGAUUCCUGGGUGGGGAAGAUACCCUGAAGAAGGAAAUGGCAACCCACUCCAGUAUUCUUGUCUGGAAAAUCCCAUGGACAGAGGAGCUGUCGGGCUACAAGUCCAUGAGGUCGCAAAAGGGUCGGACAGGACUUAGCGACUAUACCACCACCAAAAACAUCAUAUUGCUACUCAUCUCUGUGUGUGUGUAUUUGCCUUUUUCUUGCUAAUUGCAAGGGUAGUGUCAGUGUCUAAGGGAAGAUUUUAGCAUCUUCCCUUAGACAAGCAGCCAUAAUUUUAUAACGUCACAUUAAAAGAAUGUCAUAAUAUUUAAAAUAAUCAGAAGUUUGUCUUUUGUUUGAACCAAGUAUGUUUUAUUAUUAUAUAAAAUUUAGAGCAUAUUGUCCUAAUAACCCUUACCUAGUUCUCAUCCUAUGACUCAGUUUGCCCAUUGAUGGUAUAUUCUGUGUUGUUGCCUUUCUGAAGUUUUACUUGCUGUACAAACUACUCACAACUGCUCCCCGCCACCAUAAAAAAAAAAAGAAAAAAAUCAACCUUUUCCUUGCUAACAUACAAAAUAGAAAAUGUUAUUGCUUCAAUAACUUAGAUGGAUCAGGCCUGUAAAGUAUUGAACUUAGGCUCUUGUUUCCCUGGAAAUUCUUCAACCCCCAGUUUACCUUUGCCUGUGGUAAACUGUAUGAUGUAAAUAUUAUUCUACAAUGACGCCCCUCCUCCUUGUCCUUUUAUGGUCCUUUGAUUUUACGUAGAAGGUCAUUACAUAGCUUCAUUUAUCUCUUUGAAUGCACAGGUUUCAUGGUCAUUUAAAUAAUCACAGACUCAUCAGUUCUCCCCAUACUUAAUAAGAUCAAUACAAACCAGAACAAGAGGCUUCACUCCUCUAUUCACCAAGAUUUCUCUUUUCCUUCUCCUUUCUUUCACUCUCCAUCUUCCCUCUACUUCUCUAAUCCCUUCCCUUCUUUCCCACCUUCAAACAUGUCAUAUACAAUACAAUGGUUUUUUAAUAGUUUUUUCUGUAACGACUCAAAACAUCUAUUCAGCUGUUAUCCAAGACAUGGUGAAGUGUUGCCUUUAUACAAAUGACUAGAGGCAGCUGUAGCAAUUUUGGUGUUUGCUAGAGAGAGAGAAAAAAAAAAAAAAAACCCAACCCUGCUGGUCUGGCCUUAGAAAUUAGUUCAGCAAUGAAAUGGUUAAUAGGAUGAGUAAAGGCUAUUUUUAAGUCUGGCUCCCCUCUCUGAUACACUCUUGAAAAUUCACCCUGUACUGCAGAAAUCCUAAAUUGCAGUGCCCUGCACCCCACUGAAACUCUUCAGUCUGCUCACUGUGGAAGCUGUUUCUGUCGAAGAGGUCAGAAAUAGAAGAUAAAACCCUUGAAGGUGCAUCUGCUGAUCAAGCACAAAGCAGUCAGGAAGUAGGGGUGAGGGUGUAGGUAUUUCCUUGCCAUCCUUACGAAGUCCCCCUCAAGCUACAUUGGAUGUUCACCUAGGAAAUGAUCAACACUCUUCAGUGUGCACAGGUCUACAGAAGACUUUCCGAGGUACUGGGGAAGCAGAGUGAAUGAGGUCCCUGUCUUUAUGGAGCUUACUUUCUAGCAGAAGGAUUUCCCUGGUAGCUCAGAUGGUAAAGAAUCUGCCCACAAAGCAGAAGACCUGAGUUCAAUCUGUCCUCAAUGCAGAAGACCGAGUUCAGUCCCUGAGUUGGAAAGAUCCUCUGGAGAAGGGAAUUGCUACUCCAGUAUUCUUGCCUGGAGAAUUCCACGGACAGAGGAACUUGGCAGGCUUCACAAAGAGUUGGACAUGACUGCGUGACUAACACUUUCACACUUUUCCAGCAGAAGAAAUAGACAACAAUUAAACAAACAUGCAAUAUAAUUUCAGGUAUUGGGGCUGACAGACUGUGGACCCAUCAACUGGCUUCCUUGCCCUCCAGCUUCCAGUAGGCUUCAGCCAAGGAGACAUGGGGAAGAAAUGAAAGAAGACUAAGAUUGGGUCUUUAUUGGAGUAUUUAUUGCCUUGAUGGAAGAUCCAGCACCUGUUGGGUGACUUUCUCACAGAGAUCCGUGUGCCCUUCCUUUCCCGUGAUGAAAGUGCUGAGGUAUGGAAACCAUCUCUUACUGUGUAUAUAGUCCUUUCAUGAACUUUCCCUGAAUUACCCAAUUUGAGCUACCAAAUGUUUCCUGCCAGCCCCUUGACUGAUACAUAUCUUGAAGAAGUAAUACAAUCAAUGUGUCUGUCAGAGAGGGUUAGAGCAGCGAGCUGAUGGCACUAAUCCCAAAAAGACAUGAGAUUCCAGAGCAUACGAUCUGUAAAAAGAAAAAUGGUUUGUCCGUUUUGUUGGGGUUGCUAGUCUGGAACCACUUGGAGACAUGGGAUGACUUCUUGGAGAGUGUCCUCAGCCUUGCCUCCAAAUGAGCCACUCACAGCAGGCUUGAAGGGUGACACUAUCCAAAGAUGUUCCCCAUCUCAAUAGAUGGACUGACUUCAAAAGUAAAGCCUUGAAAUAAGCUGUCUCAUGUCAAGAUUUUUCUUAUUAGGAUAGCUAAGGGGAUCAUAAGUGGGAGUGGUUGUUGGGAAUUCUCUGGCAGUCCAGUGGUUAGGACUCCACGUUCUCACUGCCGAGGGUGUGGAUUCAGUUGAUUGGGGAACUGGGAUCCCACAAGCCGUGUGUAGUGGCAGAAAAAGAAAAAAAUAAGGUGGGAGUGGUGGUGGGUAACUGAUGUAGCAGACUUAUGAAGAGAGUUCCCCCCUCCCCAUCUUGAUCUGUUUUUCCUUUGUAAAGAAUCAACAGAGUUUAUAUUCCCCACCCCUGCCCCUCACCUUUUCCCAGGUCUGUAGGAACCAUCUACUCUCUCUCCACCCACUCCUGCCCAUCCGGUGCUCCGGGAAGGAUGGGAUGCAACCAUUUAACUUUUACAGCUCUCCCCAGGGGAGCUGAAUUUUGAAACUCAGCUUUAAUUAUAUAAUGAAAGCAUAUGUUUCCUAUUGCAAGGAUUGUAGACAGCAGUGAGAAGGAGGGAAGAGUUGGGGUGAGAAUGUGUGAGGAGAGACGACUGAGUGACUUCUAGGGAGCAGUAGUUACAGCGGUGAGUAGAAGACCAUUCUCAGACCUCCAGGAAGGAGCUGGGAGCAUCUCCUUCAAUAAUCAUGAAGUACUGAGAGCUAGGUAUGCAGGCCACUGCUGGGCUUGGGGAAAUUUGGAGUACAUGUAUAUAUCAGUAGAGGAAAGAACUGGGGUGGGGUUUAGAAGAGAAGAGAUGAAUUCAGGUUGGUGAGACCUAGAGACAGUAUAUGAGUUGAAUCUCAAGAUAGGCAGAUGUGGAAGUAGCAGGGAAUUUCUGGGUACUUCUUCCCCAUCUUUGCCACCUCCCUUGCCCUGGCUCCUCCAAGCACUGAACCAGCUCAAUAUAUGUAGAGAAAAACUUCAAAUAUUUGAUGAUAUAAUAUACUCAGAAUAUGCUUCAGGGUGUAUGGUCUAAGACAAACCGUAUUUUGCAUAGGCUAUCUUCGUCACCUUAGUCACACCAGCAGUAGAUAAAUACGUGCUUCUAAUUACAGAAUUAAUACACAAAUACUUUUUUUAAAUUUGGUUGAGCCAGAUCUUUAGUUGCAACAUGUGGGAUCUAGUUUCCUGACAAGGGAUCAAUCCUGGGGCCCCCACGUUAGGGAAUGUAGAGUCUUAGCCACUGGACUACCAGGGAAGUCCCCACACAUACUUUUUUUUAUCAUAAAAAAGUCCAAGCAUUACAGACAUUCCCUUUGAAAUCACCACACUCAAACCCAUAUUUACUUCUAGAAACAUAUUGUUCUGUGUGUGGGUCUAUGGUUGCAUAAUCGUAUCAUACUGUGUGUUCUAUACCUUGCAUUUAUCACUCAAUAUAUCCUGGAGCUCGUUGUGAGGUAUUUCACAGAGAGCUACCCUCAUUCUUUUUAAAUCCUGCCUAGCAUUUGUUUAUUUCAAGAUACAGUUUUGAAAAUACUUUUCAUAACUCUUUUUUUUUUUUCAUAACUCUUUUGUAAACUUUCCUUGUGGCAAAAUAAUAUACCCCAGAAAUAUUCAGGACCCUCCCCAAGAGAGUGUAUUGCCAUAGGAGGACUGGAAAGGGGGUUGGAGAAAUGAUUUUCAAUCAAUAUCCCAGGUGAUUUUAUUACUUGGCAAGUCUGGAAACAUUAUUAUGGUUUAUUUUUCUGUUUCCCUAUCAAAGGCUAUUUAAGUAACUUGAAUCUUUUAUAUUACAAUACUACAAGGCACAGUCUUCCUAGUGAGGCUGAUACUGAGAAAUGCAAUUGUUGGGUCAUGCAGUGUGUGCAUUUUAAUAUUAUAUGAGAUACUGCCAAAUUGCCUCAUAAUGUGGCUGUAGCAAUGUACAGUCCCCUCACUAUCUCAGUAUGUCUUCUUGUAUCAAAAAAAAAUGAAUUAUAUCCAAUCUGUCUUCAUGUCUUAAUAUCAAAUUUUACCAGAACUCAUCAUCAUAACCCAUCUCUCUCAAUAUGUUUCAUACUAUUCUAGUAAAGGGAACUGAAGCUCACUCAGAUACUCAAGCCAGAAAUCUGACUCCUCUCACUUCUCACUCCCUAGCACUAAUUGGUCAUAAAGCUUAUCAAUUUUACCACUUUAAUAUCUGUACAUUCCUGCAUGUCUGCCAUUACUACCUAAUUCUUACUACCUAAUUCAUUUUUGUCUUGUUUUUUUUUUUUUCAUCUUAGACAAUGACAUAGACCCCUCAUCCAUCUCCUGGCUUUUCUUUCCACACCCCACCCCCUAAAAUUUAUAUAUAUUAACCUAUCAGCUUACUGAUUACAACUCUUGAAUGGCUACCAGUUGCCAUGAAAACCAACUCCAGACUUAAGAUUUUACAAAGAUUUUGAAAUCAACCACUUUUUGCCCAUUUCUAUCCCACUUGAUAGAAAUGUUAUGUAUGAAGAAACUGCUUGAAGGACAUGCAGUCUAUCCAUUCUCGCUAUUCUAGAUUUUAUUCAUUGAAAAACCAUAAGCAUCACUUGGCCAGUGCUACUGUGGUUCCUAUAGAAUUACUUCCUAUGAGUUAUUGUUUGCUCUGUGUAUCCCUCUUUCAAGAAGUACUGCAAAAAUUUCUCUCUCUAUCCCCCAAAUCUAGAACAAUGCUUUAUUUACAGAAAUAUUGUCUUAUAUAUAUCUUGUCUAUCUAUCUAUAUGAAUGACACAUAGAAAUGCACACACAUCAAAUGAAAACCAAUAGGAAAAAUCCAAAUGUAAUCAUCUACUCCAGGAUGUCUUUUCUGGUUACUUUUAUCUACUAUACAUUAUGUAACCUCAGACCUACUUACUCAUCCCUGCAUGCUCUGAGCUUUAUUAUGUCUCAUGCAAUAUUCUCUGCCUAGACUCCUUCCCCCACCCACUCUUGUUAAAAGCUGAAGAACUCUAAUGCAGCCUGAAGACCAACUCAAAGUCAAUCCCAGUAAGUUGAGGGGCUCCUUCCUGUGUUCCCACAGCAUAUCAUAUAUCAGUCUUAGAAUUUCUCACAUUGCUUUGCCACAUGGCUCGUGCAAUCUUACUUCCUGGAUCAGGGAUUGAUCCCUGGUCCUCAGCAGUGACAGCGUGGAGUCCUAACCACUGGACUGCCAGGGAAUUCCAUGAUGAUUUUAAACUUAGGGUUUUCCUCAAUUUUUUGAACCCGGGUUUCCGUUUAUGAUUAAAUUGGUGCCAAAUUGUGUUAAGUUUCAUUGUACCUGACUAAUAAGAAAAGAUCACAUAAGAACUACACUAGUACCAAGCUAAGACUGAAGAGUUCCCCAGACAGCUAGGGAAGGAGUCACAGAAAAGGAGGGAGAAUUUGGGUCACCACCUAGCAUCCAGUAGCCUGGUCAUGAAGACCAAUAAGACCCUUCGAUAGCAUGUUCUUUCAAAGAGCUGUGAUUUGG